rnacentral:rRNA from 1 species
UACGUAGGGUGCGAGCGUUGUCCGGAAUUAUUGGGCGUAAAGGGCUCGUAGGCGGUUUGUCGCGUCGGGCGUGAAAACCCAGGGCUUAACCCUGGGCUGGCUUCCGAUACGGGCAGACUAGAGGUAUGCAGGGGAGAACGGAAUUCCUGGUGUAGCGGUGAAAUGCGCAGAUAUCGAGAGGAACACCGGUGGCGAAGGCGGCGAUCUGGACGAUGACUGACGCUGAGACGCGAAAGCGUGGGGAGCAAACAGG